UACGGAGGGUGCAAGCGUUAUCCGGAUUCACUGGGUUUAAAGGGUGCGUAGGCGGGCAGGUAAGUCCGUGGUGAAAUCUCUGAGCUUAACUCAGAAACUGCCAUGGAUACUAUUUGUCUUGAAUAUUGUGGAGGUGAGCGGAAUAUGUCAUGUAGCGGUGAAAUGCUUAGAUAUGACAUAGAACAUCGAUUGCGAAGGCAGCUCGCUACACUAUUAUUGACACUGAGGCACGAAAGCGUGGGGAUCAAACAGG
rnacentral:rRNA from 1 species